UCUCCCCAAGCCGAUUACAUCAGAACCUCCGGGGGAAGCCUGCAGGCAUCCGUGCCAGGCAACAGCUCCCCAGAGGCGUCUGGAGGGCAGCCAGAGCAGAGAGGCACCCUUGGCUUGUUUACAGCUGCCGACUGUGUCCCGGGCACCUGUGAGCAACAGUGACAGAGGCGUCAGCCAGGAGAGCCCGCCCUCACCAUCCACAGAGACCUACGCAAAAGAAAAUCAUGGGUCCGUCAGGGACCACGCACCCAUGGGGAGGCAGGUCACUCAUCUUGAGAAGCAGAUGUUUUUAAAGGGGGGAGAGGAUUCCGGCUGAUGACCUUCAGGGAACCGCGUUUCGCUGUCACGCCGUCAACACACAUUCAGACCAUUGCCGAGGCCUGGUUCUGCUCAUGAGGACGUAAGCAGCAUUUUCCUCCUUCCUCUAAGUGCGGCCUUUCCCCACUGGCCUUGAACUCCAGAAACGGGACAGACAGGCUUCCGCUCUUGAGAAGAGCACCGCCAUGCAUCUUGGUGACAUCUGCUCCUCGGGAGUAGCAGCGAGCUUCACGAGACCAGCAGUGACCUUCGGAGACAUUUGAAGAGAAUGAAGAUUGAGGAGAAAAUGUUCACAAAGUAGCCCAUCUCUAACUUGUGAAUGUUGUGAAAAUGCGAGGGGUUUCCAGACCAAACUCAAGUGAAGCCACAUUUUGGAGUCAAAAGAAACCGGGACCCGGAAAACCUAAAUUCCAGUUUCUUCGCCGCCCGUAACUGAGUGGCUGGAGGAGGUCAGUGUCUCUAUUCUCUUAUCUACAAAGUGAAGUCCUCAGAUGAAGUGGACAAACCUACAAUUUUUGCCUCCAGCUGGAAAGUUCUCCUAUUUCAAAUAAAUUUCAAAAUCGCUGAG